ACACACACACACACACACACACACACACACACACACACACACACACACACACACACACACACACACACACACACACACACACACACACAUUUAAAUGUUGUCUCUAAUGUUUGUUCUUGUGUUCAGAUUUCUGUGAUCUCACACUGGAUCCAAAUACAGCACACACUAAUCUCUCUCUGUCUGAGGGGACACACACACACACACACACACACACACACACACACACACACACACACACACACUCAUCUGCCAUCUCAAUCUCACAUUUACAGCAGAAACCUGCACAAUAGUGUAGCACAAUUGCAACAUUUGUUUAAAGCUGUUAAAUAACAAAAUUGUUUUAUUAUUAAAUAAUUAUGAAAAUCUUACUCUUAACAGUAGCUGACACUGAUGUGUGUCUCAACAGUUCUGGUGGGGAAUAAAAAUCACAUAUUGAAUGUCACAGAUGCUUAAAGUUACACAAAAUUCACCCCAAAGAAAAGUAUGCUUGAACAUUAAGAUUUUCCCAUUGACUGCCAUUGUUUGUUAAACUCACAAAAUUAAUAUUGGCAUUUCUAUUCAUGAAAAAUGUCCCCCAUUAGAAGUUGAGGCAUGGCACCGGAGACAAAAAUCACCAGUGUUGAUUUAAUAUUCACCUUUAAACAUAGUUUAAUACAUUGAGUUUACAAUACAUAAAGUUUGAUGUUGGCUUGGCAAAGCCUUGUCUGGAAGUUUAAAAGCUUGGGGUUUUACAGAUAGAUAGAAAGAGAGGUGGUUGCUAGGUUGUUCUGGGUGGUUGCUAGGGUAUUGCUAGGUGGUGUAUAUGGGUGGCUAGGGUGUUCUGAGUUGUCGCUAGUGCAUUGAUUGGUGGUUGCUAGGUGGUUUUUAGCGUGUUCUGGGUGGGCAUUAGAGUGUUGCUAGAUGGUUCCUAGACAGUUGCUAAGGUCGUCUGGGUGGUCGCUAGGGCAUUGCUAGGUGGUCGCUAAGUGGUUGCUAGGGUGUUCUUGUUGGUCACAAGGCAGUUGGUAGGGUGUUCUGUGUGGUCACUAGGUCAUUGCUAGGUGAUUUCAAAGGUGUUCAGGGUGGUCACUAGGUAGUUGCUAGGCAGCUGCUAGGGUGUUCUGGUUGGUCACUAGGCAGUUGCUAGGAUGUUCUGCAUGGUCACUAGGCAGUUGCUAGGGUGUUUUGCGUGGUCACUAGGCAGUUGCUAGGGUGUUCUGGGUGGUCACUAAGGCAUUGCUAGGUGGUUGCUAAUGUGUUCUGGGUGGUUGCUAGGGCAUUGCUAGGUGGUUGCUAGGUCCUUCUAGCUGGUCACUAGUGUUUUGCUACAUGGUUGCUAGGGUUUUCUGGGUGGUUGCUAGGGCAUUGCUUGGUGGUUGCAAGGGUGUUCUGGGGUGGUUGCUAGGGCAUUGCUAGGUGGUUGCUAGGGUCUUCUAGCUGGUCACUAGUGUAUUGCUCUGUGGUUGCUAGGGUUUUCUGGGUGGUUGCUAGGGCAUUGCUUGGUGGUUCCAAGGGUGUUCUGGGGUGGUUGCUAGGGUAUUGCUAGGUGGUUGCUAGGGUCUUCUAGCUGGUCACUAGUGUAUUGCUACAUGGUUGCUAAGGUUUUCUGGGUGGUUGCUAGGGAAUUGCUUGGUGGUUGCUAGGGUGUUAUGGGGUGGUUGCUAGGGCAUUGCUAGGUGGUUGUUAGGGUGUUCUGGGUGGUCACUAGAGUGUUGUUAUGUGGUUCCUAGAUGGUUUCUAGGGUCUUCUGGGUGGUCAAUUGUGCAUUCUAGGUGGUUGCUAGGAUGUUCUGGGUGGUCACUAGGGCAUUGCUAAGUGAUUGCAAGGGUGUUCUGGGUGGUCACUAAGUGGUUGCUAAGGCAUUGCUAGGUGGCUCCUAGGUAGUUACUAGGGUGUUCUGGGUGGUCACUAGGUGGUUGCUAAGGUAUUGCUAGGUGGUUCCUAGGCAGUUGCUAGGAUGUUCUGGGUGGUCACUAAGUGGUUGCUAAGGCAUUGCUAGGUGGUUCCUAGGCAGUUGCUAGGGUGUUCUGGGUGAUCACUAGGUGGUUGCUAAGGCAUUGCUAGGUGGUUCCUAGGCAGUUGCUAGGGUGUUCUGGGUGGUUGCGAGGGUGUUAGUAGAUGGUUCCUAGGCAGUUGCGAGGGUGUUAGUAGAUGGUUCCUAGGCAGUUGCUAGGGUGUUCUGGGUGGUCACUAGGUGGUUGCUAAGGCAUUGCUAGGUGGUUCCUAGGCAGUUGCUAGGGUGUUCUGGGUGGUCACUAGGUGGUUGCUAAGGCAUUGCUAGGUGGUUCCUAGGCAGUUGCUAGGGUGUUCUGGGUGAUCACUAGGUGGUUGCUAAGGCAUUGCUAGGUGGUUCCUAGGCAGUUGCUAGGGUGUUCUGGGUGGUCAAUAAGUGGUUGCUAAGGCAUUGCUAGGUGGUUCCUAGGUAGUUACUAGGGUAUUCUGGGUGGUUACUAGGUGGUUGCUAAGGCAUUGCUAGGUGGUUCCUAGGCAGUUGCUAGGGUGUUCUGGGUGGUUGCGAGGGUGUUAGUAGAUGGUUCCUAGGCAGUUGCUAGGGUGUUCUGGGUGGUUGCGAGGGUGUUAGUAGAUGGUUCCUAGGCAGUUGCGAGGGUGUUAGUAGAUGGUUCCUAGGCAGUUGCUAGGGUGUUCUGGGUGGUCACUAGGUGGUUGCUAAGGCAUUGCUAGGUGGUUCCUAGGCAGUUGGUAGGGUGUUCUGGGUUGUCACUAAGUGGUUGCUAAGGCAUUGCUAGGUGGUUCCUAGGUAGUUACUAGGGUGUUCUGGGUGGUUGCGAGGGUGUUAGUAGAUGGUUGCUUGGCAGUUGCUAGGGUGUCCUGGGUGGUGUGAGCAUGUGAAAGCUCCGGGGUGCUGUAUAUUGUUACUCUACAAUGUGAGGACAGAAUCCUCACUGGUUUAAAUCAUCACAUCACCACAAACAACCACAAGAAACGUGUUCAAAUGAGCUGCUGAAGAGCAACAUCAGGCCUCUGAUUGAGAAUGAACUCAAAGCAGUUUUGUUUUUGAAUGUGUGUCUGAGAGAGAUGUUUCAGCAGUUGUGCUCGCUUGUGUGGCGUGUUGAGGGCGAUCUGAGACUUAUGAGUCAAAGUGAUGUUGAUGUGCAUCAACUGCAGGAACACGAAUGGACCACUGAGACCCCGAAGAACACUGAACUGUACUCUGAGAUCUCCAAACCUGACGUGUGUCUGUCUC